rnacentral:rRNA from 1 species
UACAGAGGCCCCAAGCAUUAUCCGGAAUUACUGGGCGUAAAGGGUGCGUAGGUGGCGUUAUUAGUCCUCCUUUAAAUCUUCCGAGCUCAACUCGGAAACUCGGGGGGAAACGGUAGCGCUAGAGGAUGUAAGAGGUAUGUGGAACUCAUGGUGUAGGGGUGAAAUCCGUUGAUAUCAUGGGGAACACCGAAUGCGAAGGCAGCAUACUGGGACAUUCCUGACACUGAGGCACGAAAGCGUGGGUAGCGAAAAGG